GGUAGGGAAAACAUUGAUGUUUAACAGAAAUUCACUCAUUUGCUUGCAGGUUAAAGACUACAUGAGACUUUGACAGAUGGCGGGAAACCCUCAUCCAUUGGUAGAGGAAUGUCUGCGACUAAGCCGAGGGCCACUGGAUAAGGGUUGUUGAUGGUAAAACAGGUUAAAGACUACAUGAGACUUUGACAGAUGGCGGGAAACCCUCAUCCAUUGGUAGAGGAAUGUCUGCGACUAAGCCGAGGGCCACUGGAUAAGGGUUGUUGAUGGUAAAACAGGUUAAAGACUACAUGAGACUUUGACAGAUGGCGGGAAACCCUCAUCCAUUGGUAGAGGAAUGUCUGCGACUAAGCCGAGGGCCACUGGAUAAGGGUUGUUGAUGGUAAAACAGGUUAAAGACUACAUGAGACUUUGACAGAUGGCGGGAAACCCUCAUCCAUUGGUACGAACCCGGUAGAGGAAUGUCUGCGACUAAGCCGAGGGCCACUGGAUAAGGGUUGUUGAUGGUAAAACAGGUUAAAGACUACAUGAGACUUUGACAGAUGGCGGGAAACCCUCAUCCAUUGGUACGAACCCGGUAAAUUGAUGGCUGUAAAACAGUGACCGCUGAUUCGCAUCGAGUUCUUUCUUGCAAAACGCAUGACCCCCCUUUUUUAUUGUCUAAAUCAUUGCGGCUUGGAAUGCUCUUUAAGAAAAGGUAUGGUUAUGGGGGUCUCUAUGCGCAAAAGUUUGACUUUAUUUUUUGUUGAAGUUAUUGCUUUUACAUUGAAUUUGUGUAGGAAAUCUUUUGGUAUAUUG